rnacentral:rRNA from 2 species
GUUAUAGGAUCAAGCGACUAAGUGCAUGUGGUGGAUGCCUUGGCGAUCACAGGCGAUGAAGGACGUGCAAGCCUGCGAAAAGCGGGGGGGAGCUGGCAAUGGAGCUUUGAUCCCCCGAUAUCCGAAUGGGGAAACCCACUCCGCAAGGAGUAUCCCGUACUGAAUACAUAGGUACGUGGAGGCGAACGCAGCGAACUGAAACAUCUAAGUAGCUGCAGGAACAGAAAUCAACCGAGAUUCCGUAAGUAGUGGCGAGCGAACACGGAUCAGCCUGCACGACUAAACCAUCUAAUUAGCAGAACGGUCUGGAAAGUCCGGCAACACAGGGUGAUAGCCCCGUAUGUGAAAAUUAGGUGGCGGGUCUGAGCGUGCGACAAGUAGGGCGGGACACGAGAAAUCCUGUCUGAAGAUGGGGGGACCAUCCUCCAAGGCUAAAUACUCGUGAUCGACCGAUAGUGAACUAGUACCGUGAGGGAAAGGCGAAAAGAACCCCGGGAGGGGAGUGAAAUAGAUCCUGAAACCGCAUGCAUACAAACAGUGGGAGCCUCCUUGUGGGGUGACUGCGUACCUUUUGUAUAAUGGGUCAGCGACUUACGUUCAGUGGCGAGCUUAACCGAAUAGGGGAGGCGUAGCGAAAGCGAGUCUGAUAAGGGCGAUUUAGUCUCUGGGCGUAGACCCGAAACCGGAUGAUCUAUCCAUGGCCAGGAUGAAGGUGCGGUAACACGCACUGGAGGUCCGAACCCACUAAUGUUGAAAAAUUAGGGGAUGAGCUGUGGAUAGGGGUGAAAGGCUAAACAAAUCCGGAAAUAGCUGGUUCUCCCCGAAAACUAUUUAGGUAGUGCGUCGUACGGACACUUGCGGGGGUAGAGCACUGUAAUCGUUGGGGGGGUCAAUGCGAUCUACCCCGCGAUAGCAAACUCCGAAUACCGCAAAGUGAUAUACGGCAGACAGACAGCGGGUGCUAACGUCCGUUGUCAAGAGGGAAACAACCCAGACCGCCAGCUAAGGUCCCAAAUGCAUGGCUAAGUGGCAAACGAAGUGGGAAGGCAUAGACAGCUAGGAGGUUGGCUUAGAAGCAGCCACCCUUUAAAGAAAGCGUAAUAGCUCACUAGUCGAGUCGUCCUGCGCGGAAGAUGUAACGGGGCUCAAGCCAUGAACCGAAGCUGCGGAUGUGUCUUAUGACACGUGGUAGGGGAGCGUUCCGUAAGCCUGCGAAGGUGUCUCGAGAGGGAUGCUGGAGGUAUCGGAAGUGCGAAUGCUGACAUGAGUAGCGAUAAAGGGUGUGAAAAGCACCCUCGCCGAAAGCCCAAGGUUUCCUGCGCAACGUUCAUCGGCGCAGGGUGAGUCGGCCCCUAAGGCGAGGCAGAAAUGCGUAGUCGAUGGGAAACAGGUCAAUAUUCCUGUACCGGUUCUAGAUGCGAUGGGGGGACGGAGAAGGUUAGGCCAGCCGGGUGUUGGAAGUCCUGGUUUAAGCGUGUAGGAGUACCCCGUAGGCAAAUCCGCGGGGAUUAUCUGAGGCGUGAUGACGAGUCUCCUUGUGAGACGAAGUGGUUGAUACCCUGCUUCCAGGAAAAGCCUCUAAGCUUCAGUCUAGAAUCGACCGUACCGCAAACCGACACAGGUGGGCAGGUUGAAAAUACCAAGGCGCUUGAGAGAACUCAGGAGAAGGAACUCGGCAAAUUGAUACCGUAACUUCGGGAGAAGGUAUGCCCCGGUAGCUUGUAGGAGUACAUCCGAAGGGCGAAGGGGCCGCAGAGAAUCGGUGGCUGCGACUGUUUAUUAAAAACACAGCACUCUGCAAACACGAAAGUGGACGUAUAGGGUGUGACGCCUGCCCGGUGCCGGAAGGUUAAGUGAUGGGGUGCAAGCUCUUGAUCGAAGCCCCGGUAAACG